UCAUAUACUGAUGCUUCAUUGGUGUGAUGGUCAGAGUGCUGGCUUUCGAAUCCGUUCGCGCGAGUUCGAAUCCAACUCUGGCAUUCAUAAAUAGAAUGCAAAAUUUCUUGCGCUGAUGCCAUAUUCCAUACGUCACAAAAAUGGAGGUAAUUUACGACUGAUAAGCCGUGAUCGACAAAACAAUCUGAGCGAGAAAUAUUU
ensembl:ncRNA lncRNA:CR43604 long non-coding RNA:CR43604